CAGCAGCCGCGGUAAUACCGGCGGCCCGAGUGGCGGUCACUAUUAUUGGGCUUAAAGCGUCCGUAGCCGGGUUGGGAAGUCCUCCGGGAAAUCUGGCCGCUUAACGGUCAGAAUGCCGGAGGAUACUCCCAGCCUAGGGAGCGGGAGAGGCCGAGGGGAUUCCCGGGGUAGGGGGGAAAUCCUAUAAUUCCGGGAGGACCACCUGUGGCGAAGGCGCUCGGCUGGAACGCGUCCGACGGUGAGGGACGAAGGCCAGGGGAGCAAACCGGAUUAGAUACCCGGGUAGUCCUGGCUGUAAACGAUGCGGACUUUGUGUCGGACAAGCUAUGAGCUUGUCCGGUGCCGGAGGGAAACCGUUAAGUCCGCCGCCUGGGGAGUACGGCCGCAAGGCUGAAACUUAAAGGAAUUGGCGGG
rnacentral:rRNA from 1 species